AUAGGGGAGCCGGAGGGAAACCGAGUCUUAAUUGGGCGUUAAGUUGCAGGGUAUAGACCCGAAACCCGGUGAUCUAGCCAUGGGCAGGUUGAAGGUUGGGUAACACUAACUGGAGGACCGAACCGACUAAUGUUGAAAAAUUAGCGGAUGACCUGUGGCUGGGGGUGAAAGGCCAAUCAAACCGGGAGAUAGCUGGUUCUCCCCGAAAGCUAUUUAGGUAGCGCCUCGUGAAUUCAUCUCCGGGGGUAGAGCACUGUUUCGGCUAGGGGGCCAUCCCGGCUUACCAACCCGAUGCAAACUGCGAAUACCGGAGAAUGUUAUCACGGGAGACACACGGCGGGUGCUAACGUCCGUCGUGAAGAGGGAAACAACCCAGACCGCCAGCUAAGGUCCCAAAGUCAUGGUUAAGUGGGAAACGAUGUGGGAAGGCCCAGACAGCCAGGAUGUUGGCUUAGAAGCAGCCAUCAUUUAAAGAAAGCGUAAUAGCUCACUGGUCGAGUCGGCCUGCGCGGAAGAUGUAACGGGGCUAAACCAUGCACCGAAGCUGCGGCAGCGACRCUSAKGYGUYGUUGGGUAGGGGAGCGUUCUGUAAGCCUGCGAAGGUGGCCUGUGAGGGUUGCUGGAGGUAUCAGAAGUGCGAAUGCUGACAUAAGUAACGAUAAAGCGGGUGAAAAGCCCGCUCGCCGGAAGACCAAGGGUUCCUGUCCAACGUUAAUCGGGGCAGGGUGAGUCGACCCCUAAGGCGAGGCCGAAAGGCGUAGUCGAUGGGAAACGGGUUAAUAUUCCCGUACUUGGUGUUACUGCGAAGGGGGGACGGAGAAGGCUAUGUUGGCCGGGCGACGGUUGUCCCGGUUUAAGCGUGUAGGUGUGUGUUCCAGGUAAAUCCGGUUCACUUUAACACUGAGGCGUGAUGACGAGGCACUACGGUGCUGAAGCAACAAAUGCCCUGCUUCCAGGAAAAGCCUCUAAGCAUCAGGUAACAUCAAAUCGUACCCCAAACCGACACAGGUGGUCAGGUAGAGAAUACCAAGGCGCUUGAGAGAACUCGGGUGAAGGAACUAGGCAAAAUGGUGCCGUAACUUCGGGAGAAGGCACGCUGACACGUAGGUGAAGUGAUUUACUCAYGGAGCUGAAGUCAGUCGAAGAUACCAGCUGGCUGCAACUGUUUAUUAAAAACACAGCACUGUGCAAACACGAAAGUGGACGUAUACGGUGUGACGCCUGCCCGGUGCCGGAAGGUUAAUUGAUGGGGUCAGCGCAAGCGAAGCUCCUGAUCGAAGCCCCGGUAAACGGCGGCCGUAACUAUAACGGUCCUAAGGUAGCGAAAUUCCUUGUCGGGUAAGUUCCGACCUGCACGAAUGGCGUAAUGAUGGCCAGGCUGUCUCCACCCGAGACUCAGUGAAAUUGAACUCGCUGUGAAGAUGCAGUGUACCCGCGGCAAGACGGAAAGACCCCGUGAACCUUUACUAUAGCUUGACACUGAACAUUGAGCCUUGAUGUGUAGGAUAGGUGGGAGGCUUUGAAGUGUGGACGCCAGUCUGCAUGGAGCCGRCCUUGAAAUACCACCCUUUAAUGUUUGAUGUUCUAACGUGGACCCGUGAUCCGGGUUGCGGACAGUGUCUGGUGGGUAGUUUGACUGGGGCGGUCUCCUCCUAAAGAGUAACGGAGGAGCACGAAGGUUGGCUAAUCCUGGUCGGACAUCAGGAGGUUAGUGCAAUGGCAUAAGCCAGCUUGACUGCGAGCGUGACGGCGCGAGCAGGUGCGAAAGCAGGUCAUAGUGAUCCGGUGGUUCUGAAUGGAAGGGCCAUCGCUCAACGGAUAAAAGGUACUCCGGGGAUAACAGGCUGAUACCGCCCAAGAGUUCAUAUCGACGGCGGUGUUUGGCACCUCGAUGUCGGCUCAUCACAUCCUGGGGCUGAAGUAGGUCCCAAGGGUAUGGCUGUUCGCCAUUUAAAGUGGUACGCGAGCUGGGUUUAGAACGUCGUGAGACAGUUCGGUCCCUAUCUGCCGUGGGCGCUGGAGAACUGAGGGGGGCUGCUCCUAGUACGAGAGGACCGGAGUGGACGCAUCACUGGUGUUCGGGUUGUCAUGCCAAUGGCACUGCCCGGUAGCUAAAUGCGGAAGAGAUAAGUGCUGAAAGCAUCUAAGCACGAAACUUGCCCCGAGAUGAGUUCUCCCUGAGACUU
rnacentral:rRNA from 1 species